rnacentral:lncRNA from 1 species
AUGGGCUCCCAAAACUCCCGGACUAAAGUGACGCGUGUGGCGCCAUCCGCCAGCCGAGCAGAAAAGAGGGGCAGUCAAGAGGGAGGACAGGCUAGCUACUCGAGCCCACACUGGCGCACAGACCACCUGGAGGAGCAGCAGGGCAGUGUGGGAACUCGUAGCGUCACCCAGCUGCCGCCACUGAAACAGGAACUUCCUCUCAUCUUCUCCCCCCUUCCAAGAGAUCCUCUGCCUGGCCUUCACAGCACCGACACGGGGCAGAGCAUCAUUCAGUCCCACCCCCCACGGAGAACACAGCUUCUGCAACCAUUAGGCCGGCCUGUGGCUGGGAUCAUGCCGGAAGGAACGGGCAGCAGCAAGGUCUCUGGCGAAACAAGCCCUGCUCCCUCCGUCUCGCUGCGGCUCAGAAAAACAUACCUGCUAAUAUGAAAUAAGGAUGUGAUAUCUGUGAGAUUCGUGAUCGGAUGAUGUUGUCAACUUUAUUGUUUCCAGGUCAGAGAGUGUAGAGCUGGGGCAGCCCAUCGCUCUUCCAGCCUCAGCCAAGGGAGGCGGUAUGGUGCAGACGGCCUUCAACAGGUAAAAAAGCCGCACAGAAUCGCACACUGCUCGGCAACGUCCUGUAGAGACGGUGACGUGAGCCAGUGCCACUCGGCUUCCUCGCCAUGGAGAGGGAUUUGGCUGCAGGACGUAGGAAGCACCGCUUCCACUGCUGCCGAGAAGUUGUGAGACAGAAUGGCGGGGGUUGAGGCCUCAGAUGAGCAGAAGGCCGGGGCAGAUGGGAAAUAAACAAAAUCAUGCCAAAACGAGUGGCGUUCA